rnacentral:ncRNA from 1 species
CACCGCCCGUCGCUCCUACCGAUUGAAUGAUAUGGUGAAAUGUUCAUAUCGUGGCGAUGUGGGCGGUUCGCUGCCCGCGACAUUGCGAGAAGUCUAUUAAACCUUAUCAUUAGAGGAAGGAGAAAUCAUAACAAGGUUUUUGUAGGUGAAACUAUGGAAG